CCCUUUAGUUACAGGAGUAGGGCUUCCACUCCUGCUGUCUUUGGGAGCUUCACCUUACUCUGCCCACACCCUGGAGAUGGCAAACCCCCACCGUCGUUAACCCCCAGUGUGCCAUCUGUUUCUGGCCGACACCCUUACUUGCGCCCUGAAUACAGAAGGUUCUUUUUUGCCCCAGUAGGGGAAGGGGUCAGGUUAUACCAGGGCCAUUUCCAUGGUCGGGAACUGAAGAUGGACCAGGCCCACAGAAAGUGGUGAGUAGAGCAUCUCAGGGGGCAGAAUGCAGUGGGGGAAAAUAACUCUCAGGCUGCCUCCUUGGUUUGGGGAUCAUUUCCUUGGAGUCCCCCUUCAGUAGUUCAGUCCCUUUUGGAAUUCCUAGUGUGCUUCACGAAGGAACCCAGGGGUGGGAUUUGGGUCCACGCUUCAGACAGAGCACAAAGGGAGCACAGUGCCCCCUAGGGGCUGUUGUGAGGGUGGCAGCCACGGGAACUGGACCAUCCCAUGAAGAGGAAGGGGAAGGAAGGGGAACGGAGUCGGGGGAGGCGGCACAGAGGGGGCGCAGAAUCUAGAGCACUGGGCUCAGCUGCCUCCCUCACCAGGAGCAGCUCCUCCUGGGAGAAGGUGCCGUGUUGUGGGCUGGAUUCUGGGCGUUUUCUACCAUAAUGCUAUGUCACGGGCAGGAUCUGCUAUACAAGUAGAUGGGCCCGGCGCAAAAUAAAAAUACAGGGUCCCAUGUUCAGAAAUUAUUAAGAAUUUCAAGAUGAUGACCCCAGAGUAUUAAACUAAGCCGGGUGGGGAAUCUGAGCUUGGGGACCCAUGACACACACCCAUGAGUCUGGUUCUGGCCACAGGUUCUCCCCUGAGGACACUGUGGGUGGGAUCCCUCCCCUGGGUGCCCCAUCCCCAGGAGCAACGACAGGGAGGUUGAACACAGAGACAGAGGCAUCAUGUGGUGACAGGCUUUACAGUCUGGCUACCCUGUGUAACUUGAAAACAUACCCGUAUUAGGACUAAUGCCUCCCUAGGCCCUUUCUGGCCAAUCAUGUUGGCAGAACACCAGGGAAGGAUAAAAUUCCUAUCUGUGGGUAGAGAGAGAUGGGCUGAGGCCCGAGGGCCGGGCAGUGGGACUUGAGGGUCCUGUGGGGUCAGGAGUUGGAUGUGGUCUCAAGGUGUCUGCCUCGUUCCCCUCCCUCCUCUGUGGAGCAGAAGGCAGGAGAAGGAGCGUGGCUGAGAGAGGAUGCAUUUUGGGGUGACUCUGUCCCAUGUCUGUUUUCCUGGGCUGGAGACUCUCGUGAUCAUGAAGAAAGCAAAUAAACACAGAAUCUUAAGGCCAGAAAGUCUGUCUUUCUUCAGAACUCUCUUGUGAGUCUUGCCUAUAAUUAGAAAGAAAUGGGGAGAAUAAAAAAGCUCCGAUUUCCAGCAGCCUCGGCUACGCAAGGGCCAUGUUAACAGAUGUUAAAGGAUGACAGCCUUAUUCUUAUAAAAAAGAUCUUUAGGGAGUGGCCCAAAAUAACUUUCCCCUUCCAGGUCAGGAUGUGUGAAUGUGUGUGUAUCUAUGCAUAUGUCUGUGUGAUGUACUGCACGUAUGUGCACACACUUGUGUGUGUGAGUGGCAGUGUAAGCCUUGCCUGUGUGUUUACACAGAAGGUGCAAACGCAUGCCCGUCUGUUAAAUGUGUGUGCAGCAGUUGUAAAGAUUGUGUGAGUGUUCAGACACUUGUGAGGGUCUGUGCGUGAGUAGGUCCUGGAGUCUACAGUCUUUAUAGCCCGCCUCGGUCAGCUUCGUUUGUUGUAAAGGGAGCUGCUCAGCCAGCUCAGGGAAAAGAAGACUCACUAGGGUGUGCCCAUGUUGGGUCUGGGAUGAGCAGGAAACCCAGGCCACUCCAGGGCUGUCUGUCAUCCCUGUCCCUGUCAUGUUCCAGCUUCCUCAGGAUGGGGCUGCUGCCUCUGCUCAUCAGCCCCGUUAUCGUCUCAGCUCAGCUGUGGUUUUUCCUCCUCGCGACCUCAGCAUGCACACGGCUGUGGCUCACCUGGCCCUCCGGGGCCUUGCUCAUCCCCGUGACGCAUCCCCAUGAUGGCCACGGCUCCUGGACUUCUGCACUGGCUGGUUCUUUACAUGAAGGCCAGAACUGGGGCUGCCCUCAACAGCCAGGACUUGCCGGGCAAGGAAAUUAGGACGCAGAGGCAGACGUGCACAGAGGGAAGCACGGGGAGCUGACGGCCAUCUACAAGCCAAGGGACGCCUGUGGCUACCGGGAGCUCAGAGAGAUGCCUGGGAGAGGUCUUCCCUCACAGCCCGCAGAAGGAACCAACCCUGCCGCCGCCUUGAUUUCGGGAUCCUGGCCUUCAGCACCGGGAGAGAAGGAAUUUCUUGUUGUUUAAGCCCCCCAGUCUGGGGCACUUUGCUACGGCAGCACCAGGAAACUUAAUAUAUGGGAUUCAUGGAAGGAGCCAACUGCUCUUAGCAACUGGCUGGGGCAUUGGCUGUAGGCAAGUGUCUGCUGGGGGUCUGAGCAGUGACAGAGCUGGGAGGUGAAGGAGGUGACUCCAGGAGAGGGCAG